CUCAAGGAUGUUGCUGUGCCAAGGAAUUUGGUUCUAUGGUGGUAGUGCUGGGGUAUCUCUGUUGAAAGUUUUUAUAUUUCAGAAGAUUUAAAAUCCAAUUUUUUGACAGCUUUUCUUCCAGCUGUUUCUUUGGAUGACUUGGAUUGAAAGCACCACCAUUUCCAUUCAGCACUCCAGUGGUAGGAAGAUGAGAAUUGUAGUUCAUGAACUUUCUGCCUGGUUUGAAAGCUUACAUAAAAUGCAAAAUGCAUAUAUAGUAUAUGUUACUAACACCAUUUUGCAGCAGUACUGCAAUCAAUAAGAAUUUAAUAGGCUUAAAACCCAACACUCCAAGCCCAGAAGAAUAAUCCAGUGUAUGCUUCUCAGCCCAUAUAAGCGGCCAGGUUCAGGACAAUGGUCUGAAGUUAAACUCCAUUACGGUAUUGGCUUGGCAUCUGUUUAUCGGCCAUUACAUCAGCUGAGCUGUUUUCUUGCCUGCAGCUUUAAGGGGUGGGAAAAACUGAUGCAAUUGUGGGCGUUCUAGGAAAAAGAGAUAUAUAGACCGAAAUGCAGUCUCCCCCACAAACAAACAACCUUGGAAGACUUGUUCUUGCUGCUGCAAGGCGUCGCAUUGCCCUGCUUUUUUUUUCUUUCUCUGCCAUCUGGGACCAAGGGACGGGUCAUCAUGUCCACCUCUUUCGUCCAAGCCGAGAAGCUGCGCCCGACCGCUUUCGAGGUGGAAUAUUUUGACCAGUACGAUUUCUAUAGCUUGACCGACAGAUACAGCGAUGUCUGAUUUCACCUUCGUGCGUGUAUUGUAAGGAACAUCACUCCCAUAACACAGAAACGGGAAUCUCUGCAAAAGAGCUUUAAUACAUACUAAUCUAAAUGAAAAAUACUUGCGGCUCUACAAUACACCAAGGAGGGGGUUGAAAGUACUCGCAUAAUCCAUAAUAAACUAUUUCUGAAAGCUUGUGGGCUAGCCGUACCUUGGCUUUACGAUCUGACAAUUGUAUAGUUUGCUAAAUAAACCCUGGCUUCACAAAAUUUGUAAACCAAGACUCCCCAGAUUCUUGGAUUUGGUUAGUAUGUUAUGUAAAUCCAGACAUUGUGUUAAUUAACCAAAUUUUCUAUUACUCAGUUUUCAAGCUGUUGAAAGUCCCACAUUGGUCUUAUAUCCACAGAGACACAGACACUCUGCUGGCACUGCUUACACAUUUGUGUGUGCUUGGCACAUGAUUCCCACAAUGACUAACAAACAUGCCUUUGCUAAAAAUAAAUACAUAAUUUAUGUUUUAGCUCUAGUGGUUGAGAAAAAAAAACCCAGUAACCUUCCAACUGGCCUAAUUCCUAACCAAAAACAAUAGGCUGUUUUUCAUCCCAUCAUUUUUUUUAAAGUCAUAACUUAUUGAAUUUGCUUUUUGCAUUUUAAAAGAAGCUGUAGAAAAAUCAACUCUAGUGCACAUCAGCGUUCCAUCCAGUUUUUCCACCUAGGCACAGGCCUACAUAUGGCCAAAAACAAGUCCUUACAACUCAUUUUAGUGGAAACUUUCAAAGCUAUUAUCAUCCUUCCUAAAACAUUAUCCUCAAAUUAGCAUUAGCUUGUAGAGUUUGGCAACCACACACCCUAAAAAUAACCCUCUUAAAAUCUGAUUUUGUUAGAUAUAGAGCCAAGUUUUUCUACAGAGCCACAGAACACUUUUUCACACAGUCUGAAGUUUAUGAACCAAAAUUUCACAAAAUUUCUUAUUUUUUGCUAAGUCAAUGUGAAAAGGGAAGGUAUUUUUUUCAAGUGGUUGCUGAUUGCAAAGGGAAUAAAGUAUGCAAUGCAUGUAAAAA